AAUAUGCUGCAUUAUAAAUAUGCUGCUUGACAUUCAGUGUGACUUUUUUUACUGUCAGUGUGUAAGCCGCAGUGUGUCUGUUCUGGAGAGGGAAGAGAUGGACAGACUGCUGGAUAAUGCCAAGUCAGAACUGUUCUCAGAACAGAGGCGUUUCAGACACAAACUGGACUCUAUGCAUGAGAGGAUGGAUGAGGUGAAUCAGGAGCUGGAGCAGAGCGAGGAGGACUGCAGGGCUCUCCGACAGAAAUGCACUGAGCUGGAGGAGCAGCUGGCUGAUACGAUCAGAGAAAAAGAACAAAUAAAGGAGAUUUCUCAGAAAGAUCUAGAGCAACAGGUGAAGUGUUUUGGAGUGCUGGAGCGAAUUGUUGCCCAGAAGGAGCUGCUUUUGCAGGGAAGCGAAGACGAAAAGGAAGGCCUUCUUCAGGAGCUCUGUUCACUGAGAGAGGAGCACAGCUUUAAGCUGAGAGAAAUGCAGAACAAGACAGAGCAAGAGAUUGAGCAACUGACAUUACAGUUAACCAAAAGCCACAAAGAGGAGCUUCAAAAGGUGCAUCAGCAGGCGGAUGAAUUGAGAUCGGCUGCUCUCAGUCAACAAGCUCAGACCCACAAACAGAGCCUGGACUUCUUACACAACUGCAUCCAGAUGAAAGAUGAGGAGAUAAAGAGACUAAAAGAGGCUCUAGAGCAGCAUGAGGAGAAGAUGAGGAGGCAAGCAGAGGAACUCAAAAGAGAAACUCAGGAAAAGAUUCGAAAGGCUGUGAAACGAGAGGAAAGGAAAUGGGAGGAACAGAGAGAGAAGGCUCUCAAAGAGCAGCGUGGGACUCUGGAGCAGCAAAUAGAGGAGGCAGUGAAGAGAGGGAAAACAGAAGUGGAGAUGGAGAGAAGGAACGCACUGGUCUUACAGAGUAAAGUGACUGAGCUUCAGAAAGAGGCAGAGAAGGAGGUGGUGCGUCUGAAGCAAACUUUGCAGCGGUCUGAAAAGAAGCUUCAGGAGCUGAGGACAGCCCUCUCUGAGAAAGACCAAAAACACCAGAGAAAAACAGCCAAACUUGAGCAGCAGAGCCGACGCUGGGCACAGGACAUGCACAGCGAGUGCGUUUGCUUGCAAGAGUUACUUAAACACAACAGCCUGGCUGUUGACAACAAGAACUCAUCAGACAGUCCUACAGUGAGUGAAACUCUUCAGACCCUGCAGACCCUCACAAAGGGCCUACAACAGCAUAUUAAUGAUCUAAGAGAUGAGCUCAGCUCACAGAGAUGUGCUGCACUGCAACUCAGCCGAGAAAAGGUACAGAGUUACAAACAAAAUACACAUAAUCACAGCAAAACAGCGCUAAUUAGCAUUAGCUGCCUAUGUGUUUCAGGAACAAGAGCUUCAUCUGCAGAAACAGCAGUUGAUGGAUGA
rnacentral:lncRNA from 1 species